rnacentral:tRNA from 1 species
GGGGCUAUGGCUCAGUUGUUAGAGUGCCUACCUUGCAAGCACGGAGCCUUGGGAUCAAUCCCCAAAACUCCA